rnacentral:sRNA from 1 species
GUUGGGCAUGGUGGCACAUGCCUGUAAUUCCAGCAGCUUGGGAGGCUGAGGCUGGAGGAUUGUGAGUUCAAAGACAGACUCAGCAACAUCGAGGUGUUAAGCAACUCAGUGAGACCUUGCCUCUA